AAAUUGAAGAGUUUGAUCAUGGCUCAGAUUGAACGCUGGCGGCAGGCCUAACACAUGCAAGUCGAACGGUAACAGGAAGAAGCUUGCUUCUUUGCUGACGAGUGGCGGACGGGUGAGUAAUGUCUGGGAAACUGCCUGAUGGAGGGGGAUAACUACUGGAAACGGUAGCUAAUACCGCAUAAUGUCGCAAGACCAAAGAGGGGGACCUUCGGGCCUCUUGCCAUCGGAUGUGCCCAGAUGGGAUUAGCUAGUAGGUGGGGUAACGGCUCAC
rnacentral:rRNA from 1 species